AUGUUAUUCAUCGUUUAUAUUGUUUAUAACAUCGUCAGUUUUUAUAUGCAUUUAAUAUUUUUAAAAAUAGUUCAAAAGCUGUCAAAAUAAAAUGGUGAAUUGAGUUUAAACCAGAAAAGAUAUAAACGUAAUCUUUUGGAUUCAACUUGUAAGGAUGUUCCAAGAACCACUUAGUUGGAGAAGGAAAACUGUGCCGUUCAUUAACAAGUCCUGUGCUUUAUAAUACAUUAAAAAAUAGAAGGACGUGAAGAAAACAAGUUUGUAAAUGAUGUUGUACAUCAUGCAGAUAGCUCAGAAAAAGAAGCAGGAAUGUUUGACUGGAAAUAUAAACGAUGUUGUACAUAAUGCAGAUAGCAAUACAUAAUACAGAUAAGCUUAGGCAAAAAAGAGAUUGGUGAAAUGGAGAAUGAGACUAACUAGGGUGAAAAAAAAUGAAUAUUAAUAUGUGAAUGGUACUUUGUUUAACAUCUACCUGUUUCUACAGAUACAGUACAGACGCAUUUAUAAAUGGGCUUGAUGUUUUUUUGAAUUAAAUAUGUUGUAUUGAUGGUUCUUUUUAACUUGUUAAAACUUGAAGUUAUUAUCAAAUUUAUAUAUACUAUUUUUAUCAAAUAGUUAAUAUAAAAUAAUAAACAUGUAAAUUGUUUUAUUUUCUGUAAAAAUUGUUUUCUUGAUAAAUUUCAAUUGUUUAUCACUAUGUAUAUCACUUAUAGUAUUAUAUUACUUGUAAUUUUUUGUUUUAUUUAUUUUCAGUAUGUUAUACAUAUGCAUGCAAUAAAUAUUGUGGGGAAGUCAAGUUUUGAUGUUUUAGGUGCAUUAUAGCUAUUAUUUUUCAAAGAUUUGUAGGAUUUAACAAGAUUUAAAUUUUAUUUUGUUUAUUGAUUUUAUUUGGAGAAAGCGAUCUCAUAGAUUAAGAGAACUCAAUAAUAGUGGGAUAAAAUUUGCUUUUAUGAUUUAAUAUGACAAUUCAAAUAACAUUAGAUAAAAAAACUUGAAAACAAAUCAUGCUUUUUUACCAUGAAAAAUCCAUAAGUUUUCCUUGGAAAGGUGUUUCUAAUACCUAUGGAAAUUCCAUGGUUUUUCCAUGGAUGGAAAAUCAUUGAUUAUCCAUGGUAUUUGGAACACUUUUCCAUGAAAAACUUGAAGAUUUUUCAUGGGAAAUUCAUGUGUUUCCCAUGAAAACUCAUGGUUUUUCCAUGGAAAACUCAUGGUUUUUCCAUGGUUUUUAUGGGAACGUGUUCCAAAUACCCAUGGUUUUUCCAUGGGUUUUUUUUCUAAAACUCCCAUGGGAAAUUUUCGUACGGUACGGAAUGUCGUUAAUUUUCAUACCAUUUACUAAAAGCUAUAUAAAUAUUGUUACAAUUUUAUAAUUCAAAUUAGUAAUUUCGAAUUUUUUUCACUGUACUGAUUUAUAUGUAAUAUUAUAUAUUAUUAAAUCAAUGAAGUUAUGAUUU